rnacentral:rRNA from 1 species
AUUGAACGCUGGCGGAAUGCUUUACACAUGCAAGUCGAACGGCAGCACGGACUUCGGUCUGGUGGCGAGUGGCGAACGGGUGAGUAAUGUAUCGGAACGUGCCCAGUCGUGGGGGAUAACGUAGUGAAAAUUACGCUAAUACCGCAUACGAUCUAUGGAUGAAAGCGGGGGAUCGCAAGACCUCGCGCGAUUGGAGCGGCCGAUAUCAGAUUAGGUAGUUGGUGGGGGAAAGGCCCACCAAGCCAAUGAUCUUGAGCUGGUCUGAGAAGACGACCAGACACACUGGAACUGAGACACGGUCCAGACUCCUACGGGAUGCAGCAGUGGGGAAUUGUGGACAAUGGGCGAAAGCCUGAUCCAGCCAUUCCGCGUGCAGGAUGAAGGCCCUCGGGCUGUAAACUGCUUUUGUACAGAACGAAAAGGUUUCUACUAAUACUAGGAGCUCAUGACGGUACUGUAAGAAUAAGCACCGGCUAACUACGUGCCAGCAGCCGCGGUAA